UAUAAUUAUUUCAUUUUGGUUUCCGGAUCUUAGUUUAGUUUACGGUUUUAGUAAUUAUUUUUUGUGCUUAGUUUCUAUUAUGAACUAUUUAAAUUAAUUGGGGUUGUCGUUUUAAGGCAGUCUUUUGAGGUAAACGAUACAGUGUCGAAUAAUGAAAACAAGCGUUGUUCAAUAUCAAAAGGUAAAAAGUGUCAUGGAAUAUAACUAACUUCAAUAACAUGUACUAUAUUUUAUUGAGUUGUACAAGUAGGGGAUGUAAUAGAGCACACACUACAUCGAAAGAAAGUUAACCGAUAACUAACGAUGCAACUAAUGAUAAUAUUCGUUGAAGAGUGCAUAAUUUUUAUAAAGUCAAUUUAGUACGAAAGUUGAACAUGAAAUUGCAUACAUACUCUGAUUAUGACUUUAAAUAUUUAGUGACACUGCGGCGUGUUUCAAUUGAGUUUGCUUUUAAACAUAAGAAACUUGACAACUUAAUUAUUAUAUAUUAUCAUGCAGUAUCCCACAAUAUCGACAAAAAUAUUCAAGGAUUAUUAAGCUACACUUUAUAAGACUGCCCCCGAAUUAUUGUAUGUUAAAUCCUAUAUAAAUGGUUUGUAGUAAAUUGAAAAAGUUGGAACCAGAACCAUGCAAAUAUAAUUAUUUACCUACUUUAAGUGCGAUAGUGAUUGGAAACAUAUGUCAAGUUUAUCGCAAUUUGACAAUGAUCUAAAUGAUCUAUAGAGAAAUUGUGUUGAAAACAUAAUUACAUAAUAGGGCGAGAGGAGUUUGAAUACUUGAAAAAAUGGGUCGAAGGGGAAUGUCAGGUUUUUUGAGUUUUGGUAAACCAUAUAUUUUAGGAGGUAAGCAGGCAUUGUGAAUUUUCAAUUUUUUUGCGUCUGAUGGCGAAAUAAAAAGUUGUUCUUCCCAAGACCGAAUUAGAGUAUUAUUUUGUUUUUGAUAAGAAUUCGCAGGGUCUUGUUUAAUUUUUUUGUAAGUUGUCUUAUCGUUUAAUAAUUUCAUCAUUUUGUUAUUAUAAUUCUUUGGUUUAAGUUAUAUUUUGAGGUGUGGUAUUGUUUUGUUGUCUUUUGUUUUUCAAUUUAUUUUUGAAAUUAGUAAUAAUACCACAAAUAUCAGAUCUUAUUUUAUUUUGAAUGUCGUUAUUUAGAUGAUUGGUGCUGCAUUCAAUAUUACAUAAAAUAUUUGUCACAGGUAAUUCUUUGUCAAUAGAAAUAUUUUGUGAAAAAUUGGGACCUAAAGAUAAAGCUUCAUUUAAUUCAUCUGAUAUGAGAGUAUCAGUUAAAUUCUCGAUCUAAAAUCUAAAAUAUAUGGUUUACCAAAACUCCAAAAACCUGAUAUUCCAUAUAUACAUAGGAACGUGGCAAGGAACCCAAAGUUUCAAAAAAUCAUGUGUACUGUUCUAAAGAAAGAAGCGAAAGUGGCGUGUACCUAGAAAAAUUGAGAAGAAGAGGAAUCAUUCACGUCUGUUGAAUAAAUUCUACAACUGCCAGGUUGGGAGUUUUCACCA